rnacentral:misc_RNA from 1 species
AAGACUAUAGACCUGCGGAGUACCUGCGGAAGGAUCAUUAACGUUGGGGACUAACAAUCCCUCAGCGAGAUAGAACCCUUGCCUUUUCGAGUACCACACGUUUCCUCGGCAGGUACGCCUGCCAAUGGGGACCACAACAAAACCUUUUGUAAUAGCAGUAAACGUCUUAAAAACAAAACUUUUAACAACGGAUCUCU